rnacentral:rRNA from 1 species
AGUGAACGCUGGCGGUAGGCCUAACACAUGCAAGUCGAACGGCAGCACAGGAGAGCUUGCUCUCUGGGUGGCGAGUGGCGGACGGGUGAGGAAUACAUCGGAAUCUACUCUGUCGUGGGGGAUAACGUAGGGAAACUUACGCUAAUACCGCAUACGACCUACGGGUGAAAGCAGGGGAUCUUCGGACCUUGCGCGAUUGAAUGAGCCGAUGUCGGAUUAGCUAGUUGGCGGGGUAAAGGCCCACCAAGGCGACGAUCCGUAGCUGGUCUGGGAGGAUGAUCAGCCAGAAUGGAACUGAGACACGGUCCAGACUCCUACGGGAGGCAGCAGUGGAGAAUAUUGGACAAUGGGCGCAAGCCUGAUCCAGCCAUACCGCGUGGGUGAAGAAGGCCUUCGGGUUGUAAAGCCCUUUUGUUGGGAAAGAAAUCCAGCUGGCUAAUACCCGGUUGGGAUGACGGUACCCAAAGAAUAAGCACCGGCUAACUUCGUGCCAGCCGCCGCUGUAA